rnacentral:rRNA from 1 species
CCUACGGGAGGCUGCAGUGAGGAAUAUUGGUCAAUGGACGAGAGUCUGAACCAGCCAAGCCGCGUGAAGGAUGACUGCCCUAUGGGUUGUAAACUUCUUUUAUAUGGGAAUAAAAUGUUCCACGUGUGGGAUUUUGUAUGUACCAUAUGAAUAAGGAUCGGCUAACUCCGUGCCAGCAGCCGCGGUAAUACGGAGGAUCCGAGCGUUAUCCGGAUUUAUUGGGUUUAAAGGGUGGGUAGGUGGAUGGUUAAGUCAGUUGUGAAAGUUUGCGGCUCAACCGUAGAAUUGCAGUUGAAACUGGCAGUCUUGAGUGCGGUAGAGGUAGGCGGAAUGCGUGGUGUAGCGGUGAAAUGCUUAGAUAUCACGAAGAACUCCGAUUGCGAAGGCAGCUCACUGGACUGCAACUGACGCUGAGGCACGAAAGUGUGGGUAUCGAACAGGAUUAGAUACCCGUGUAGUC